rnacentral:rRNA from 1 species
AGGUAGCAUAAUCAUUAGUUUUUUAAUUGAAAACUUGUAUGAAUGGUUGAAUGAAAAAUUAACUUUUUUAAAAAAAUAAUUGAAUUUUACUUUUUAAUUAAAAGGUUAAAAUAAAUUUAAAAGACGAGAAGACCCUAUAGAGUUUUAUAAUUUUUAUUUAAUAUUUAAAAAGAUUAAUUAAAAUUUUAUAAAAGAAAAUAUUUUGUUGGGGUGAUAAUAAAAUUUAAAUAACUUUUAUUUUUUUUUUACAUUAAUAUAUGAAUUYAUGAUCCAUUAUUGAUGAUUAWAAAUUUAAAUUACCUUAGGGAUAACAGCGUAAUUUUUUUUUAAAGUUCAWAUUAAUAAAAAAUUUYGCRACCUC